rnacentral:lncRNA from 10 species
GUUCCUGUUGCCGGAGUGACAGGGAAUCCAGGAGGGGAGGGCGGUGUAGACACAGGUGGGGCUCCUGCACUGGCCCCACAGGUGUCAGGCGUGGAGGAGGGAGGGACUGGGCAGAAGCGGCCCCUCCCCGGCCUGGGGCUUGGGAUCUUUCCGGGAGACACCGAGGGAGACAGUAGAGGCCGCUCCUCCCUGCUGCGCGGCACCCCCACCCCCCCGCAGGGGUGGAUGGGCACCUCGGAGGCAAGCCAGGGGCUGGUGGGGGCCGGAACAGUGGCGGGAUUUCUGCAGGUGUGACCGGGGUUUCUAAUCAGGUGACUUGGCGUUCAUCAGAAGGGAGGUUGAUCUGGCCGAGCCUGGCUAGCUCAGGUGCACCCUUUAAGAGGCUGGAAGCCACAGAGCCGCCCCCUCCUGAUGCCAAAGAAGCAUAUGGCCAUCGGCUCCACAGCUGCGAGAAAGAUUAUGCACACAACGACAUGCGCUCAGGAGGGGACCUCGCGCCUCGGUUGAGAUCCCAGCCCUGGCUGACACCUUGAGUGCAGCCUGUGAGACCCUGAGCAGAGGUUCAGCAGUCCCCUCCCCGGACUCCUGCCACACAGAAGCCAUGAGGCAUCCCCAUCACACACUAGGCUUGGUGACUGCACUUGAGGGACUCACAGGACUUAGCCUACCAUCAUACUAGUGGCUGGGAUUUACUACGGUGAAAAGAUGCGACGCAGAAUUAGUAACAGGAAGAUGCAUUUGGGGUGAGGGCCGGAGGAAACCAGCUGACAGAACCAAGGACACACACCUUGUUAACGACGCCCUCAAGGCUGUGAGGAGAAAGACAACCGGGUGAAGCAACGCUGGGAAUUCAACGCAUCAAUUACCUUCCCAGGUAACAGCAGCUACUUGAGCUCCUAAGAGUUGACCUUCAGCUGCUGUCAUGGAAAAUAGUGGGGGUCAACUAGACAUCAAAGAUGAAAGGCCAGGCCUCCAGCACAACUUUCUCUGUAAGCUCGAUAGUGGCUUUCUCAAAGAAAUCCUUUUCUCAAAAAAAUUUCUUGUAAAGACAGGGUCUUGUUCUGUCACCCAGGCUGGACUGCAGUGCAUGGCUCACUGCAGCCUCAACCUCCCGGGCUAGAGUGAUCCUCCCCUUUUCUGAGGAGCUCAGACCACAAGCGUGCACCACUGUGCCCAGCUGAUUUAUAAACUUUUUUUUUAGAGACAGGGUUUCACCAUGUUGGCCAGGCUGUUUUCUUUCAAGGUUUCACCAUGUUGGCCAGGCUGUUUUCUUUUCUUCUCUUUUUUUGAGAUGGAGUUUCACUCUUGUUGCCCAGGCUGGAGGGCAGUGGCGCGAUCUUGGCUCACUGCAACCUCCGCCUCCCAGGUUCAAGUGAUUCUCCUGCCUCCCAAGCAGCUGGGAUUACAGCGUAGCUGGGAUUACAGGCAUGCGUCACCAUGUCCAGCUAAUUUUGUAUUUUUAGUAGAGACGGGGUUUCUCCAUGUUGAUCAGGAUGGUCUCGAACUCCUGACCUCAGGUGAUCCGCCUGCCUCAGCCUCCCAAAGUGCUGGGAUUACAGGCGUGAGCCACUGUGCCUGGCCAACUUGGAUUUGUUACUGUUAUACAGGACAUGGCCCUUAAUAUUCACAUGAAUGACAGUGAGACACACAAUGCUUUCUAAAGAUUGGUUUUGGCCGGGUGUGGUGGUGCACACCUGUAAUCCCAGUUACUCGGGAGGCUGAGGCAGGAGAAUCACUUGAACCCAGGAGGCAGAGGUUGCAGUGAGCCAAGAUGGCUCCAUUGCACUCCAGCCUGGGCAACAAGAGCAAAACUCUGACUCAAGAAAAAAAAAAGGUUGGGCACAGUGACUCACGCCUGUAAUCCUAGCACUUUGGGAGGCCAAGACAGGCGGAUCACGAGGUCAGAAGAUCAAGACCAUCCUGGCUAACAUGGUGAAACCCCGUCUCUACUAAAAAUACAAAAAAUUAGCUGGGCUUGGUGGCAGGCACCUGUAGUCCCAGCUACUCGGGAGGCUGAGGCAGGAGAAUGGUGUGAACCCGGGAGGCGGAGCUUGCAGUGAGCCGAGAUCGCGCCAGUGCACUCCAGCCUGGGCAACAGAGCAAGACUCAGUCUCAAAAAAAAAAAAAAAAAAAAAAACAAAGACUGGUUUCACAUUCUGUUUAUAUGAAUAAUUUGUGUGUGCACAAAAGCAGUCUGCUCAGUGGGUGCCUGGCCUGGGGCAUCAGUUCUGAGCUGGAAGAGAUGAGGAUGCCCACAGCCCUGCCUCUGCCCCACAGCCUGCCUGUACCUGGGUCCUCCUGCUGGGCCGUGGUGGGGAGCCGCUCCCGUUGCCUCAAGGCCUCCAGGCCUGCCAGGUCAGGCUGAUGGCAGUGG